rnacentral:lncRNA from 1 species
UAGAGACAGUAGAUUUACAUCCCAGAUGCUGUGGCUAAAAGCAGCUACCUUUGCACAGCGUAGUUAUACAUUUUUUGUCUCCCUUUCCUAAAUGAGAUUUGGGAAUUGAAA